rnacentral:rRNA from 1 species
GACGAACGCUGGCGGCGUGCUUAACACAUGCAAGUCGAACGGAAAGGCCCUGCUUUUGUGGGGUGCUCGAGUGGCGAACGGGUGAGUAACACGUGAGUAACCUGCCCUCGACUUUGGGAUAACUUCAGGAAACUGGGGCUAAUACCGGAUAGGAGCUCCUGCUGUAUGGUGGGGGUUGGAAAGUUUCGGCGGUUGGGGAUGGACUCGCGGCUUAUCAGCCUGUUGGUGGGGUAGUGGCUUACCAAGGCUUUGACGGGUAGCCGGCCUGAGAGGGUGACCGGCCACAUUGGGACUGAGAUACGGCCCAGACUCCUACGGGAGGCAGCAGUGGGGGAUAUUGCACAGUGGGCGGAAGCCGGAUGCAGCAACGCCGCGUGCGGUAUGACGGCCUUCGGGUUGUAAACCGCGUUCGCCUGUGACGAAGCGUGAGUGACGGUAAUGGGUAAAGAAGCACCGGCUAACUACGUG